GAUGAACGCUAUCUACAGGCUUAACACAUGCAAGUCGAGGGGCAGCGGGAUUGAAGCUUGCUUCAAUUGCCGGCGACCGGCGCACGGGUGAGUAACUCGUAUCCAACCUUCCGCUUACUCGGGGAUAGCCUUUCGAAAGAAAGAUUAAUACCCGAUGGUAUCUUAAGCACGCAUGAGAUUAAGAUUAAAGAUUUAUCGGUAAGCGAUGGGGAUGCGUUCCAUUAGGCAGUUGGCGGGGUAACGGCCCACCAAACCUACGAUGGAUAGGGGUUCUGAGAGGAAGGUCCCCCACAUUGGAACUGAGACACGGUCCAAACUCCUACGGGAGGCAGCAGUGAGGAAUAUUGGUCAAUGGGCGAGAGCCUGAACCAGCCAAGUAGCGUGAAGGAUGACGGCCCUACGGGUUGUAAACUUCUUUUGUGCGGGAAUAAAGGAACCUACGUGUAGGUUUUUGCAUGUACCGUAACGAAUAAGCAUCGGCUAACUCCGUGCCAGCAGCCGCGGUAAUACGGAGGAUGCGAGCGUUAUCCGGAUUUAUUGGGUUUAAAGGGAGCGUAGACGGGUUUUUAAGUCAGCUGUGAAAGUUUGGGGCUCAACCUUAAAAUAGCAGUUGAAACUGGAGACCUUGAGUACGGUUGAGGCAGGCGGAAUUCGUGGUGUAGCGGUGAAAUGCUUAGAUAUCACGAAGAACCCCGAUUGCGAAGGCAGCCUGCUAAGCCGCCACUGACGUUGAGGCUCGAAAGUGCGGGUAUCAAACAGG
rnacentral:rRNA from 1 species